UCUGGCCUCAAAUCAGGUAGGACUACCCGCUGAACUUAAGCAUAUCAAUAAGCGAAAG
rnacentral:rRNA from 1 species